rnacentral:rRNA from 1 species
CCUACGGGUGGCUGCAGUGGGGAAUAUUGGACAAUGGGCGCAAGCCUGAUCCAGCAAUGCCGCGUGUGUGAAGAAGGCCCUCGGGUUGUAAAGCACUUUUAUCAGGAACGAAAUACCACGGGUUAAUACCCUAUGGGGCUGACGGUACCUGAGGAAUAAGCACCGGCUAACUUCGUGCCAGCAGCCGCGGUAAUACGAAGGGUGCAAGCGUUAAUCGGAAGGUGCGGGCGUGAUUCGUUAGUAGUCGGUUGAAAUCCCCGGGCUCAACCUGGGAAUGGCAAUGGAUACUGGCGAGCUAGAGUGUGUCAGAGGAUGGUGGAAUUCCCGGUGUAGCGGUGAAAUGCGUAGAGAUCGGGAGGAACAUCAGUGGCGAAGGCGGCCAUCUGGGACAACACUGACGCUGAAGCACGAAAGCGUGGGGAGCAAACAGGAUUAGAUACCCGAGUAGUC